UACAGAGGGGGCAAGCGUUGUUCGGAAUUACUGGGCGUAAAGGGCGCGUAGGCGGCCCACUAAGUCGAACGUGAAAUCCCCGAGCUCAACUCGGGAACUGCGUCCGAUACUGGCGGGCUUGAAUCCGGGAGAGGGAUGCGGAAUUCCAGGUGUAGCGGUGAAAUGCGUAGAUAUCUGGAGGAACACCGGUGGCGAAGGCGGCAUCCUGGACCGGCAUUGACGCUGAGGCGCGAAAGCUAGGGGAGCAAACGGG
rnacentral:rRNA from 1 species